AUUGAACGCUGGCGGCAUGCCUUACACAUGCAAGUCGAACGGUAACGGACCUUCGGGUGCCGACGAGUGGCGAACGGGUGAGUAAUGUAUCGGAACGUACCUUUCAGUGGGGGAUAACGUAGCGAAAGUUACGCUAAUACCGCAUAUUCUGUGCGCAGGAAAGCAGGGGACCUUCGGGCCUUGCGCUGAUUGAGCGGCCGAUAUCAGAUUAGCUAGUUGGUGAGGUAAAGGCUCACCAAGGCGACGAUCUGUAGCGGGUCUGAGAGGAUGAUCCGCACACUGGAACUGAGACACGGUCCAGACUCCUACGGGAGGCAGCAGUGGGGAAUUUUGGACAAUGGGGGCAACCCUGAUCCAGCCAUGCCGCGUGAGUGAAGAAGGCCUUCGGGUUGUAAAGCUCUUUCGGCCGGGAAGAAAUCGUAUCAGCUAAUACCUGGUGCGGAUGACGGUACCGGCAUAAGAAGCACCGGCUAACUACGUGCCAGCCGCCGCCGUAAAAC
rnacentral:rRNA from 1 species